UACGUAGGGCGCAAGCGUUGUCCGGAAUUAUUGGGCGUAAAGGGCUCGUAGGCGGUUUGUCGCGUCGGGAGUGAAAUCCACUGGCUUAACUGGUGGCUUGCUUUCGAUACGGGCAGACUGGAGGUAUGCAGGGGAGAACGGAAUUCCUGGUGUAGCGGUGAAAUGCGCAGAUAUCAGGAGGAACACCGGUGGCGAAGGCGGUUCUCUGGGCAUGUCCUGACGCUGAGGGGCGAAAGUGUGGGGAGCGAACAGG
rnacentral:rRNA from 1 species